rnacentral:rRNA from 1 species
UAGGGAAUCUUCGGCAAUGGACGAAAGUCUGACCGAGCAACGCCGCGUGAGUGAAGAAGGUUUUCGGAUCGUAAAACUCUGUUGUUAGAGAAGAACAAGGACGUUAGUAACUGAACGUCCCCUGACGGUAUCUAACCAGAAAGCCACGGCUAACUACGUGCCAGCAGCCGCGGUAAUACGUAGGUGGCAAGCGUUGUCCGGAUUUAUUGGGCGUAAAGCGAGCGCAGGCGGUUUCUUAAGUCUGACGUGAAAGCCCCCGGCUCAACCGGAGAGGGGCAGUGGAAACUGGGGGACUGGAGUGCAGAAGAGGAGAGUGGAAUUCCAUGUGUAGCGGUGAAAUGCAUAGAUAUAUGGAGGAACACCAGUGGCGAAGGCGGCUCUCUGGCCUAUAACUGACGCUGAGGCUCGAAAGCGUGGGGAGCAAACAGG